AGCAACAAAUGCCCUGCUUCCAGGAAAAGCCUCUAAGCCUCAGGUAACAUCAAAUCGUACCCCAAACCGACACAGGUGGUCAGGUAGAGAAUACCAAGGCGCUUGAGAGAACUCGGGUGAAGGAACUAGGCAAAAUGGUGCCGUAACUUCGGGAGAAGGCACGCUGACACGUAGGUGAAGUGGUUUACCCAUGGAGCUGAAGUCAGUCGAAGAUACCAGCUGGCUGCAACUGUUUAUUAAAAACACAGCACUGUGCAAACACGAAAGUGGACGUAUACGGUGUGACGCCUGCCCGGUGCCGGAAGGUUAAUUGAUGGGGUCAGCGCAAGCGAAGCUCCUGAUCGAAGCCCCGGUAAACGGCGGCCGUAACUAUAACGGUCCUAAGGUAGCGAAAUUCCUUGUCGGGUAAGUUCCGACCUGCACGAAUGGCGUAAUGAUGGCCAGGCUGUCUCCACCCGGGACUCAGUGAAAUUGAACUCGCUGUGAAGAUGCAGUGUACCCGCGGCAAGACGGAAAGACCCCGUGAACCUUUACUAUAGCUUGACACUGAACACUGGUCCUUGAUGUGCAGGAUAGGUGGGAGGCUUUGAAGUGUGGACGCCAGUCUGCAUGGAGCCAUCCUUGAAAUACCACCCUUUAAUGGCUGGUGUUCUAACGUGGGCCCGUGAACCGGGUUGCGGACAGUGUCUGGUGGGUAGUUUGACUGGGGCGGUCUCCUCCUAAAGAGUAACGGAGGAGCACGAAGGUUGGCUAAUCCUGGUCGGACAUCAGGAGGUUAGUGCAAUGGCAUAAGCCAGCUUGACUGCGAGCGUGACGGCGCGAGCAGGUGCGAAAGCAGGUCAUAGUGAUCCGGUGGUUCUGAAUGGAAGGGCCAUCGCUCAACGGAUAAAAGGUACUCCGGGGAUAACAGGCUGAUACCGCCCAAGAGUUCAUAUCGACGGCGGUGUUUGGCACCUCGAUGUCGGCUCAUCACAUCCUGGGGCUGAAGUAGGUCCCAAGGGUAUGGCUGUUCGCCAUUUAAAGUGGUACGCGAGCUGGGUUUAGAACGUCGUGAGACAGUUCGGUCCCUAUCUGCCGUGGGCGCUGGAAGAUUGAGGGGGGCUGCUCCUAGUACGAGAGGACCGGAGUGGACGCAUCACUGGUGUUCGGGUUGUCAUGCCAAUGGCACUGCCCGGUAGCUACAUGCGGAAGAGAUAAGUGCUGAAAGCAUCUAAGCACGAAACUUGCCCCGAGAUGAAUCUUCCCUGAGCCUUUAAGGCUCCUGAAGGAACGUUGAAGACGACGACGUUGAUAGGCCGGGUGUGUAAGCGCAGCGAUGCGUUGAGCUAACCGGUACUAAUGAACCGUGAGGCUUAACCUUACAAC
rnacentral:rRNA from 3 species